rnacentral:rRNA from 1 species
CAGCCGCCACGGGAAUACGAAGGGUGCAAGCGUUACUCGGAAUUACUGGGCGUAAAGCGUGCGUAGGUGGUUGUUUAAGUCUGCUGUGAAAGCCCUGGGCUCAACCUGGGAAUUGCAGUGGAUACUGGGCGACUAGAGUAAGGUAGAGGAUAGUGGAAUUUCCGGUGUAGCAGUGAAAUGCGUAGAGAUAGGAAGGAACAUCUGUGGCGAAGGCGACUAUCUGGGCCAUUACUGACACUGAGGCACGAAAGCGUGGGGAGCAAACAGGAUUAGAUACCCGCGUAGUCCCUGUCUCUUAUAC